rnacentral:lncRNA from 1 species
GCGGCGGCGGCAGCGGGGUCCGGGUCCGGAGCGCCACAGAAAAACAUAGAACGGAAAGCCCAGCCCAUCCUUGUUGGCUGUCAUACACGAGUGCUGUCUCCAAGGGAGUCACAGGUGUCUCAGAUGUGAGAGGAUCCCGGGGAGAUUGAGCUUACUGCCUGGGAACUUUUGGAUUUCUGGAGAAGCAGGCUGUGGUAGCCUGGCUCUGCGUCAGUGAAUACCUGGGAAAGGAGCUGGAGCUCUAUUUUGCUUGCUUUCUGCAUUCGUUUCUUUUAGAGCUAAUGGGGACACAAUAUUUUGAAGUUUUUCCAUUUCGG